ACCUGCCCUAAGGAAGCCACAUGGUUAGGAACAUGGGUUCUCAGAUUUUUCCUCUUUAAUAUUUAUAGCCCAUUCAGUACCACCGAGCCUUCUGAAAACACCCCUCCCCAGAUACCUUACAUCAGGUACUGAGCUUCCUGUUUCCAACCCCAUCACCUCCUUCCCUGGAAAGUUGAACCAAGGUGCCCCUAAACUGAGGGUCAGGGGAGAGGCAGGGCUUUUCUGUGCAGUCCUGGCUGACCUGGAGCCAGCUCUGUGGCCUGGCUGGCUACUACAGAUCAAACACUUCCCAUUGCCUACGGCUACUGCAGCAAAAGCAGGUGCAGCGUGAGGCAAGAGAAUGUGUUUGCAGUGAUGCGGUGCGAAGCAGCCUGAGGAGCGGUGGGCCUUAAAAAGGCACCGCACAGUUAUGUGUAAUCACUUAUAACCACUUACCGGGUGACCGUAUGUUACUGCACCCGGGACUCACCGUUUUGUUGGGCGCCUGCUGAGUAUUAUAUUCUGGACUGGGCUCACUGAAGUUAGGAACUUCGGAAUAAACCAUGCAGAACCUGCAAGGAAAGAAGUCAAAGCCUUGGAGCCAUCUUUCGGGCCACAGACAAAUCCGGCUCUGAGGUCCGAACCUCGUGCCCGUCCUUGGUCUUAGUCACUCGGCCUUUGAGGGAAGAAAUACACGGGGGGCGAAUUAAAGUCAUACAAGUGGGGUGGUGGUAGCGGAAGUCUGAGUAUUGUUUGAGUGAGGUGCAAGUGUAGAAGCUGAGCAAAGCGUAUAUCCCUCCUUGGGGCAGAAGGUUAUGCGUGGGUGUGUGGGGGUGAGAGAGGAGGGUCCAGCACCAUGGAGAGAGCCCAGAGUGGAAAAGGCCCGCGUGGCUUUUUAGGCAUUAGGCUAUCUAGAGUUCUAGCUACUCUCUUCCCACGGGCAGCUAGCUCCUGUGCCAGCAGGUCUGAGGGAUUAGAGGGCUUUGGGGCGUCUCCUCCCAGGGCAGGCAACAAGUUCAGAACGCAAGCGGUGGUCCCGUGUGCCCCCACUCUCCAUGCUCCUCCCCGUUUGCGCCCCCCACCCUCCGAGUCCACUGCGCAUGCAUAGCCACCUGUCUCCAGUACAAUGAAGAUGAGGUUCAGGUUCUUGAGCCCGGGCUUGAUAUCCUUCACGAAGGUCUCGGUCGUCAUGCUUCCCGAACCGCGGCACCCCGCUGGAAGUGGAAACGGGAGAUGAAGGCUCAAGGUCUGGAGCCUUCGUCCCCAUGCUCCCGCUUGGCCUACCCACUGCACCAGGCGGGGAUCCGGCAGCCUUGGUCCUUCUCUAACCCUUCUAGGAGGUGAGAAACGAACUUCCCUGGGGGCCUCGAACUUCAAGAUCAGAACUCAGAGAUCUCUGGAUAAGAUGCUUAGGAGCUGGAAGGCCCGCACUCGGUCAGGAUGCUUUUAGUCUCACGCUCCGAAGCAGGGAGGCUAAAGGAGACUCGUAAGGAACCCGGUGCAGAGCCACGGACCAGAAUCUUACUCCGCAGAUCUUCCUGAACCCUCAUCCCACACCCAGAACUCGGAUCAUCCCCUCCCCACCCACAGCCCACCACCCACCCAGCCGGCAGGCGGGACCGUGCACACCGCCAAGCCACCCGCAGGGGGAGCCAGGGGGCUAGCUGCCCCCGGAUGCUGCCGAGUGGAACGCGGGAGCGCAAACAUUCCCGGAAGUGUCCCCUGACCUUCUCCAGCCAAUAGGGACCGAUGUGCUCUCCAAUGUCCCGCCUCCAGCCACCGCCCAUCCAAUCAGACUCCGAUAUUCACGCGCCGCGAACGGGGCGGAUUUAGGCUUUAAAGGAGCCUUGAGGAAGAUUACUUCCGUAGGAGAAAAAGAUGGACGGACCACCAGGGGGCGCCUCAACUAGCAAGCAUUCCUUCGGCUCAGAGAAAGGACUACAGGCUCUCAAGAGUUUUUUUCCUUUUCAAGUAGUGGCACAAUGGAGAAAAAGUCCAAGGGUUUUGGAAUGCAGCGGACAAAAGUUUGAAUCCCAGCCUGUGUCUUUGCUUCUUUUCUCUGCAAUUCUAAAACAAAUAAAUUCCAUUUUACACAUGAAAAUGGAAAGUUCGGUAAAAAGCGAUGCCUAAGACAGGGCAGGAACUUACACAUAUGGGGCCUUCAUCUUUUUAUUUAUUUAAAAUUUCCACCUCCUCCCAUAGGGGGCCUUCAUCUUUAAUACACUAUUCGACCUCAGG